CACAAAUCAAUAUUUUUCUCAAGGGGCUUCACAAUCUGUACAGCAAACAACAUCCACUAUCCUUAGACCCUUGACUGAGAAAAAACUC